rnacentral:misc_RNA from 1 species
GAUGAAGAACGUAGCGAAAUGCGAUAAGUAAUGCGAAUUGCAGAAUUCAGUGAAUCAUCGAAUCUUUGAACGCACAUUGCGCCCCUUGGUAUUCCGAGGGGCAUGCCUGUUCGAGCGUCAUUACACCACUCAAGCUAUGCUUGGUAUUGGGCGUCGUCCUUAGUUGGGCGCGCCUUAAAGACCUCGGCGAGGCCACUCCGGCUUUAGGCGUAGUAGAAUUUAUUCGAACGUCUGUCAAAGGAGAGGAACUCUGCCGACUGAAACCUUUAUUUUUCUAGGUUGACCUCGGAUCAGGUAGGGAUACCCGCUGAACUUAAGCAUAUCAAUAAGCGGAGGA